AGUGUACCUUAAUUUUGCACUGGAGUCAGCAGAGGACAACAAUUUUUCUCUUUACCAAAAUCAAAAGAAGGACCUCACUUCCCUGCUUGGAAGGUAUCCUUCUGCAGUUUGGGGGAUCUGAAGAAAAGCUGAGCAGAUCAGAAAUGAACUCAGCAGAAUUAACAUUAGAAAGAGAGAAACAAGGACACCAAGAAGCAAUUUCACCCAGGAAAGCAUUCUGUUAUGAAAUCCAAGCUCUCUUUACAUGAAGACUCAGCCUGCAGACAGCUCCCUACACAUGCACCCCACAGGGAAGGCUGCUUGUCACCAGCAACCAUCUCCAUCCACAUUCCCCCCGCCCUGCCCCCACGAGAAGCCUGCCUUCAGUUGUCCCAAUUACAGGGAAGCCUGCUGAGGAAACAGAACUGUCUGAAUGCAAAGGAAAUUUAGCUCUUAUGAAUAUGAACUCUCAACCAAGAAUCACCAGACGUUUAAGGAAAACCAAGAACACAAAAGAGAAAGAUCAAGAUUAAAAAAACAGCUGGGCGUGGUGGCUCUUGCCUGUAAUCCCAGCACUUUGGG
rnacentral:lncRNA from 1 species